rnacentral:rRNA from 1 species
GACGAACGCUGGCGGCGUGCUUAACACAUGCAAGUCGAACGGAAAGGCCCUGCUUUUGUGGGGUGCUCGAGUGGCGAACGGGUGAGUAACACGUGAGUAACCUGCCCUUGACUUUGGGAUAACUUCAGGAAACUGGGGCUAAUACCGGAUAGGAGCUCCUGCUGCAUGGUGGGGGUUGGAAAGUUUCGGCGGUUGGGGAUGGACUCGCGGCUUAUCAGCUUGUUGGUGGGGUAGUGGCUUACCAAGGCUUUGACGGGUAGCCGGCCUGAGAGGGUGACCGGCCACAUUGGGACUGGGGUACCGCCCAGACUCCUACGGGAGGCAGCAGGGGGGAAUAUUGCACAAUGGGCCGAAGCCUGAUGCAGCAACCCCGCGUGCGGGAUGACGGCCUUCGGGUUGUAAACCGCUUUCGCCUGUGACGAAGCGGGAGUGACGGUAAUGGGUAAAGAAGCACCGGCUAACUACGUG